rnacentral:rRNA from 1 species
CGUGCCAGCAGCCGCGGUAAUACAUAGGUCACAAGCGUUAUCCGGAAUUAUUGGGCGUAAAGCGUUCGUAGGCGGUUUGUUAAGUCUGGAGUUAAAGACUGGGGCUCAACCCCAGCCCGCUCUGGAUACUGGCUGACUAGAGUCACAUAGAGGUAAGUGGAAUUCUUAGUGGAGCGGUGGAAUGCGUAGAUAUUAGGAAGAACACCAAUGGCGAAGGCAGCUUACUGGAUGUACACUGACGCUCAGGGACGAAAGCGUGGGGAGCAAACAGGAUUAGAUACCCUGGUAGUCCACGCCGUAAACGAUGAUCAUUAGCCGCUAGAAUAUUUAGUGGCGCAGCUAACGCAUUAAAUGAUCCGCCUGAGUAGUAUGCUCGCAAGAGUGAAACUUAAAGGAAUUGACGGGGACCCGCACAAGCGGUGGAGCAUGUGGUUUAAUUUGAAGAUACGCGUAGAACCUUACCCACUCUUGACAUCUUCCGCAAUACUAUGGAGACAUAGUGGAGGUUAACGGAAUGACAGAUGGUGCAUGGUUGUCGUCAGCUCGUGCCGUGAGGUGUUAGGUUAAGUCCUGCAACGAGCGCAACCCCUGUCUUUAGUUACUAACGGAUAAUGCCGAGGACUCUAGAGAGACUGACUGGGUAACCAGUAGGAAGGUGGGGACGACGUCAAAUCAUCAUGCCUCUUACGAGUGGGGCAACACACGUGCUACAAUGGACGGUACAAAGAGAAGCAAUAUGGUGACAUGGAGCAAACCUCAAAAAACCGUUCUCAGUUCGGAUUGAAGUCUGAAACUCGACUUCAUGAAGUUGGAAUCGCUAGUAAUCGUAGAUCAGCUACGCUACGGUGAAUACGUUCUCGGGUCUUGUACACACCGCCCGUC